rnacentral:rRNA from 1 species
AACGAACGCUGGCGGCAGGCCUAACACAUGCAAGUCGAACGCCGUAGCAAUACGGAGUGGCAGACGGGUGAGUAACGCGUGGGAACGUGCCCAAAGGUACGGAACAACUCCGGGAAACUGGAGCUAAUACCGUAUGUGCCCGAAAGGGGAAAGAUUCAUCGCCUUUGGAUCGGCCCGCGUCUGAUUAGCUAGUUGGUGGGGUAACGGCCCACCAAGGCGACGAUCAGUAGCUGGUCUGAGAGGAUGAUCAGCCACACUGGGACUGAGACACGGCCCAGACUCCUACGGGAGGCAGCAGUGGGGAAUAUUGGACAAUGGGCGCAAGCCUGAUCCAGCCAUGCCGCGUGAGUGAUGAAGGCCUUAGGGUUGUAAAGCUCUUUUGUCCGGGAAGAUAAUGACGGUACCGGAAGGAUAAGCUCCGGCUAACUUCGUG